rnacentral:rRNA from 1 species
AUGGUUAUAGGGGACUUUAAUGAAAUCUUAUACUCGUCAGAGAAGGACGGUGCCCCCCCCCAACAGUCGAGGUUGCAGGUGUUCCAAGACGCCUUGUCUCAUUGUAUGUUGGAGGAUAUCGGUUAUAAUGGGGAUAGAUUCACUUGGUUCCGAGGAGGGUUACGAGAGAGACUAGAUAGAGCGGUCACAAACACGGCUUGGCUUUUAUUACAUCCGCUUGCUGAUCUUAGUAAUCUUGACAUGGGCAAAUCGGACCACCGGCCCAUACUAAUGGACACCGAGUACCUGGCCGGGGUGGCGGACAGUAACCCAAGAAGAGACAAGAAGUUUGAAAUGAGGUGGUUGGCAGAAGAAUCAGUGAAUGAAAUUGUAAAAACAGUGUGGCAAAAAGCUGUGCACCGCGGCUUGUGCCCUACUAUCAUAGAGAAAAUCAACUCAGUUCAUAGGGACCUGCAUGAGUGGGACCACAGGGUUUUGAGGAAACCGCAAGCUAGGCUGAAAACUGCACGCUGA